rnacentral:lncRNA from 1 species
CUUUUCACUUGAGGCUGUAGGCGCCAAAUGGGCAAUAGGAGAGACAAGAGUCUAGUCUCUCUACCCUGUAGCUCUCUAAUUGGCUUCUUAAACUUUGGGUCUGACUCCUGAUCAACAAUGCAUGCAUGAAUGCUAUCUAUCCACUUAAGUACUUAUACUAGCCUGGAUUUACCUAGUCGCUCUCCUUCUUCAAGACCAAAGAAAACAAAAUUAGUGACUCCCCUUCAGAAUGAAACCAAGUUAGUGACCUCGUUAGGAUUAAAGGAGAGUCCACAUUUUGGAUUGAAGUGUGGGUGUUAAAGUAAGAGACCAAAAUUUUGGGCUUCAAACUCCAUCUUAGAGAACCUGACCUGAAUUUAAACUCAAGUAAACUAACAAAAAAGCUGAGCCUAGCUCCAGUUUCUAGGCUAACCCCAACAAGCUCACCCUCUGCCUAACAACCACCAGUCAGGAAGAGAUCAGAAGUUAAGUUUAUGGUUUGGCUCCCAACACCAGCCAAUUAUGCUAAAGGCCAUAGUAGCUCACCGAUUAGAUGCUUGCCAGGCUAGGAACACUCACCCCUGGCUUGCUCCUUUCUAUAAAAACUUGUCUCUAUGAAUGUUCGGGACUUUUCCUCUACCAGAACCAUCCUGUGCAUAGGUGGUGAGCUAAGCCUGUGUAGGGGUGGUUCUGAUGUUGUCCUGUUCCCCAGUUGGUUCUUGACCUGUCAGUAAAGAAGCCAUGGACCAAUUACUGGGUGAAAGGAAUAGAUGGGUCUUCUGGGUCCCUGGAGGCAAGAGACAGAUGCAAGGGAGGAGAGGAGAGUCACCAUGUCUUGGAGAGAGAAAAGCCAAGCAGCCAUGUGAGGGAAUACCGGAGUGGGGAGACCACCACCCUCUCAGAAAAGAAGGGGAGGGUUUGGGGAAGGGACCGGAAAGGGAGUAGGACAGUGUUUGGGGUGUAAAUUAAUUAAGAAAUGAGUCUUAUUAUAUUUUAUGUGUAUGUGUGUUUUGCCUGCGCAUAUGUCUGUGAAUCAUGACUGUGCCUGGUGCUGGUGCAUCAUAUAGGCCAGAAGAGGGCAUUGGAUCCCCUGGGACUGGAGUUUCAUAUGGUUGUGAAUUGCCAUGUGGGUGCUAGGAACUGAACCUGGGGUCCUCAGGAAAAGCAGUCAGUGCUCUUAACCACUGAGUCAUCUCUCCAGCCCCAUAAUUUUCUUUUGUACAGGAAAUUCUUAGGUGGUUAUUUUUGAGUCACCCUGUUCUGAUUUACUUUCUGUCCCUAAGCAAGCAUGUUUGUUCUCUCUCUCUCUCUCUCUCUCUCUCUCUCUCUCUCUCUCUCUCUCUCUCUCUCCUAUCUCUCCCCCUCCCUCUCUCCUCCUCUCUCCCCCUCCCUCCCUCCCUCCCCUUCCCUUUCUGUCCCCCUUUGUCCUUCCCUUUCUCCUUUCUAUCUCUUGCUUGUAACAGGGUCCAGUGUAGCCCUGGUUGGAUGCGAAGGCUUCUGAUGUUCUUGCUAGCACCCAGUCCAUGCUGGGGUUACAGGCAUGUACCAGCACACCCAGUUUACCUGGUUUAUUUGUUGUUUUUAACAUCCUUGUUUGAGAAGGAAAACUUGUUUUAUGCCUUAAGGCGUUUCUAGCUUUAUCAGUUGUUUUGAUGUUUCUUGACUCCCAGACAGCAAGAAAAGCAAACUGAAUUGGAGGAGGAGGGUCUCUCUCUCUCUCUCUCUCUCUCUCUCUUGUGCCCCCUUAAACGUUUCCUGUCUUUCUAUCCUGCAUCAGAUGUGUUAACCACUCUGUCAGGAAUACAGGAAUACAGGAAUGGUGUCUCAAAAAGGAGAAUCUCACCAUUGUCCAGCAAACUGGGUUUUCCCUUUAACCCUCCCCCACCCAAGCUUCUCUCAAAUUUCAAGAAUACGGAGCAUUUGAGGGUGGGGGUAGGAUCUUCUCUCCCAAUGCUUGAAGGACCCUGCAGACCAGACCUGAGAUAAUGAUCAGCCAGAUUGGUAAACCAGCCCUGCUUGAUUAACACAUUUCCAGCCUUUCUGCCUAUGUUCCUUGGAGAUCCUAGGUCUAUUGCCAGUACCCCACAGCCAGGCAGGAGGACUCUGGUCUCCCUUUUCUUCUCAAUCUGGCCUGACUGUAUAAAUUCCUUUUCUGCUUCUUUUCCCUCUUUCCCCUUCGGUCCUGUGUGAUGAGUAACUGUGAAUGGUCUGUGGACCUCUCCAGAGCCAAACCCCCAGUCAGGUUUCCAGUAACAGAUUCACCCAUUCCAAGAUCCCCCGACUCAUCUUUUGUUGUGUUUCUGGUUAUUUUGAGACAGUAUCUCAUGUAGUCUAGGUUAAACUAGGUUAGGCUAGCGUAGACUACAUGCGAUUGUCUAGACUCACGGGAUUGACUUUCUUGUCCAGGGCCUUCUAGUUUGGAGACUUCCUCCCAAUUGAUCGCUGUGAUGGAGAACAGGCUGCAGUGGCAUCUCCAGCCUUCAGUUGCCAGGGCAGAUUGGGAUUUUGUUACCAUAUCUACUCAAAGCAGCUUGUUGUUCAGCUUUCAUAAGAUGCUCUGGUCAGGACUUUGGUGAU